rnacentral:rRNA from 1 species
GACGAACCGUGCGAACGUUGUUCGGAAUCACUGGGCUUAAAGGGCGCGUAGGCGGUUCUCCAAGUCAGGGGUGAAAUCCUGCGGCUUAACCGUAGAAGUGCCUUUGAUACUGGAGAUCUUGAGGGAGGUAGGGGUUCGUGGAACUUCUGGUGGAGCGGUGAAAUGCGUUGAUAUCAGAAGGAACGCCGGUGGCGAAAGCGACGAACUGGAUCUCUUCUGACGCUGAGGCGCGAAAGCUAGGGGAGCAAACGGG